CCCCGGCCCGCGCCGUGGGGUCGGGGCGGGCCCUGAGGGAAGGGGCGGGCGAAGAGGGACGGGGCCGGUGGAGCGUAAGGCUGCGAGGAGCACACACCCAGCAGGACGGACGGCCCUGCAGUGACACCAACCUGAGCUGCAGGAUCCUCAGAGGUCACCUUAGGCCUGUGCAUCAUCACAGGAAACGAACACCCUGAUGGGCUUGUGCCAACAAUUUAAGUAGCUCAUCUUCUCCUGUGGUGCACACCCUCGGAUGCUUCCAUACACCGCUCUCCUUGCGCUGCCCUUUUAGCUUUUGUUUUGCUACUUUUCUCUCAUGCCGUUCUGUAAGAUGAGCCUGCAUCCUCUGUCAUCAGCCUCUGCAGCUCAGUUCCCUCCCAAUCUCCCCAGGUGGCA